GACGAACGCUGGCGGCGUGCCUAAUACAUGCAAGUCGAACGCUUCUUUCCUCCCGAGUGCUUGCACUCAAUUGGAAAGAGGAGUGGCGGACGGGUGAGUAACACGUGGGUAACCUACCCAUCAGAGGGGGAUGACACUUGGAAACAGGUGCUAAUACCGCAUAACAGUUUAUGCCGCAUGGCAUAAGAGUGAAAGGCGCUUUCGGGUGUCGCUGAUGGAUGGACCCGCGGUGCAUUAGCUAGUUGGUGAGGUAACGGCUCACCAAGGCCGCGAUGCAUAGCCGACCUGAGAGGGUGAUCGGCCACACUGGGACUGAGACACGGCCCAGACUCCUACGGGAGGCAGCAGUAGGGAAUCUUCGGCAAUGGACGAAAGUCUGACCGAGCAACGCCGCGUGAGUGAAGAAGGUUUUCGGAUCGUAAAACUCUGUUGUUAGAGAAGAACAAGGACGUUAGUAACUGAACGUCCCCUGACGGUAUCUAACCAGAAAGCCACGGCUAACUACGUG
rnacentral:rRNA from 1 species